UUUAGUAUGAAUGCAGUGUGUAUGUUUGUGGUGAUGAACACUUUAGAGAUUGUUGUAUUUUAUUAUAUAUUUUAUGAAACAUAACGUGUCUGUGUAGUUAUUUAUUAUUGUAAUUCUUUUAUGCAGAUACGUCAAUCCUUUUAAGUGUGACCAGUUCCAUUUGCCCUGGUGUCACAUACUUGGGUGAUAUAAGAAUGGAAACUUGUCAGCCAUUAAAGAGCCUUUAACCCAAAA
rnacentral:lncRNA from 1 species